GAGGCUACGCUUUCUUCGGCUUGUAGAGGGAGCUUUCCCGUGGAUGGGUAUGGUGGUGAUCGUUGGCGGAGAACUUCGUUGCCACAGACAGACCUAGAUUACAGAUGUGCGUCUGGAUUUUAAAAAGAGUAUCAUCACCAUUGUCAUCAUCAUCGUCAUCAUCAUCAUCAUCAUCUAUGUGGGGGAGUACUGAUAUUUUGCCUGCAUAUAUGCCUGAGUACCACAUUUGUGAGUUAGACAGUUGUGAGACACCAUGUAUGUGCUGAGAACUGAACCUGGGUCCUCCGGAAGGGAUAGUCAGUACUCUGAGCAUGGCUUUCUCGACAGAUUCUGAACAACAGUUUUCAACUUAGAGCUUUGAAGAUGAUAGAAGUCCAGAAUAUUCAAAGCUAAUCUGUAUAUUAGAAUGAGCAAUAGGAAGAUCCGUGUCUGGUGGGCAAAAAGGCCCAAAGAAAAUUAAAGAAUACACCAUGCAGAGCUGCUGGUAGGUAACCACGGGGCAUAUAGAAAACCAUCAGGUUUUUAUGGAGCAAAACAAUGAACUUGACAAAAGGAACUUGGAAAAUUUAGUAAUCAUAGGAUAAAUGGGAAAUCUGUCAAAUAAAAAGGUUCAUGGAAGCAAUAUUUUUUUCUAGAGCAA
rnacentral:lncRNA from 1 species